AGAGUUUGAUCCUGGCUCAGAACGAACGCUGGCGGCAGGCUUAACACAUGCAAGUCGAGCGCAAUACUAUCUUCGGAUAGUGGAGAGCGGCGGACGGGUGAGUAACGCGUGGGAACCUACCCUUUGGUUCGGAAUAACUUUGGGAAACUGAAGCUAAUACCGGAUACGCCCCGUAAGGGGGAAAGAUUUAUUGCCGAAGGAGGGGCCCGCGUUGGAUUAGGUAGUUGGUAGGGUAAUGGCCUACCAAGCCGACGAUCCAUAGCUGUUCUGAGAGGAAGAUCAGCCACACUGGGACUGAGACACGGCCCAGACUCCUACGGGAGGCAGCAGUGGGGAAUCUUGGACAAUGGGGGAAACCCUGAUCCAGCCAUGCCGCGUGAAUGAAGAAGGCCUU
rnacentral:rRNA from 1 species